rnacentral:misc_RNA from 1 species
CAGAGUUUACCAACUCCCAAACCCAUGUGGAACUUAUCUCUUUGUUGCCUCGGCGCAAGCUACCCGGGACCUCGCGCCCCGGGCGGCCCGCCGGCGGACAAACCAAAACUCUUGUUAUCUUAGUUGAUUAUCUGAGUGUCUUAUUUAAUAAGUCA